ensembl:lncRNA
AUGACAGUAUGUUCACACCAUACCUGCCCACUCACUCACUCACUCACUCACAAACUCACUCAGUCACUCACUCACAAACUCACUCAGUCAGCCAGUCACUCACAAACUCACUCAGUCAGCCAGUCACUCACUCACUUACUCAGCCAGUUACUCACUCAGUCAGCCAGUCACUCACUCACUCACAAACUCACUCAGUCAGCCAGUCACUCACUCACUCAGUCACUCACUCACUCACUUAGUCAGCCAGUCACUUACUCACAAACUCACUCACUCAAUAACAAACUCACUCACUUAGUCAGCCAGUCACUCAUAAACUCACUCAGUCACUCACUUAGUCAGUCAGCCAGUCACUUACAAACUCAGUCAGUCACUCACUCACUCAAUCACAAACUCACUCACUCACCUAGUCAGCCAGCCAGUCACUCAGUCACUCACUUAGUCAGUCAGCCAGUCACUCACUCACUCACAGACUCACUCAGUCACAAACUCACUCAGUCAGCCAGUCACUUACUCACAAACUCAGUCAGUCACUCACUCACUCAAUCACAAACUCACUCACCUAGUCAGUCAGCCAGUCACUCACUCACUCAGUCAGUCACUCACUCAGUCAGUCAGCCAGUCACUCACAAACUCACUCAGUCAGUCACUCACUCACAAACUCACUCACAAACUCACUCACUCAGUCAGCUAGUCACUUACUCACAAACUCAGUCAGUCACUCACUCACUCACUCACUCACUUAGUCAGUCAGCCAGUCACUCACUCUCUCCAUCACUCACUCACUCACUCACUCACUCACUCACUCACUCACUCACUUCGUCAGUCAGCCAGUCACUCACUCCCUCCCUCACUCACUCAUCACUCAGUCACUCACUCACUCACUCACUCACUCACUCACUCACUCACUCACUCACUCAGUCAGUCAGUCACUCACUCACUCACUCACUUAGUCAGUCAGCCAGUCACUCACUCCCUCCCUCCCUCCCUCACUCAGUCAGCCAGUCACUCACUCACUCACUCACUCACUUAGUCAGUCAGCCAGUCACUCCCUCCCUCCCUCACUCACUCACUCACUCAGUCACUCAGUCAGUCACUCACUCAUCACUUAUUCACUCACUCACUCACUUACUCACUCACUCACUCACUCACUCACUCACUCACUUAGUCAGUCAGCCAGUCACUCACUCACUCACUUAG